UGUUCCCACCUUCUGAUGUUGU
rnacentral:miRNA from 2 species